CAACAAUAUUAACUAUAAUGUAUGAAAUUGUGAUGUUAUAGGUUCUUUUCUACCUUCCAGGAAAACUGGAAGACAAAUAAGGGUUGGUCUUGCUUCAGGGUUUGUUUCGUACUUCCCUACCCCUGCCCAAGGAGAACUUUUCCCAAGUGUGAAGGACAUUCCAGCAGGAUGAUUGAUUAUGGCCAUUACAUCUCAGACCACGCAGACAAUGGGCAGUCUAACCUUGCUUCUAUCCAACUAUAG
rnacentral:lncRNA from 1 species